UGGAGUUUUGCAACCUGGAGGCGGAUACGAGUCUAAUUUCCAUUCGCUCUAAGGUCCUGUGCUCCCAGCACUUCGCACCAGUUGCUUAUUUGCGCACAGGAAGGCUUCGGUGGGAUGCAGUUCCUACAUUGAAGCGCACACUGCAUGGCGUUGGAGGAAGUAGUGCCUACGCCAAUCAGAGCAGACUUGAAAGCAGUGGGCCUUCAACGGAGGAACGUGUGCAAGCUGUGGUAGCCUGCGAUGACGACAGUACAGGAGCAAUACACCUUCACCAGAUGAGUCAUCCUUGCCAUGCUGAAGAGUGUGGCACUGAAGAAAGUCAGCAACAGCGUGAUCUGUCUCAUCAGGACCAUAGCUACGCACAACACGCACCACCCUUGUCAACACAG